CGGUGAUGGGUUUUCUUAUUUGAUCGUAUUUUGAUAUAUUUUUUGUUAACAAAAAAAAAAACUUCAAAUUCCAUCAACCGUGAGUUUCGGAUUGUUUAUUUACUAAAAUUGUUUGUUUUAAAUAUCUUGAUAUAGAAUCUAACUAAUAUUCUCUGUAAUCACUACGGUUAGGAAGAAAUCCCUGAUCCCUAUAGCUGUUCUUUAAUUUAGUGUUGAUAUUGUCGCUGUCAAGGACAUGUUCAUCACUAAUGUUGUCAAUAGAGCGUCAUUCUCUAUCAUCCUUUGUCUGCCCUAUUACAUGAUGUCAUGAAUGAUCCACACAUUGCUGCCUUUGGAUUCACAUACAAAGCAGAAGCAAAUAUCAAGAAGUGGCUUCGCAAAUCUCACAAGCCGAUGACAAAUCUCGAACUUCUCCAUCUCAACCUUAUCUGUAACCAUGCUCUUCGGUCUGCGAUUCAGGAGUUGGUUUGAUUCUUAGUUGUUUUUCGAAUCGAUUCAGUUCUCCGAUCUAACUCGUGUGCUUUGUAAUUGGUAGGGUUUGGAAAAAAAUCGGUCGCUGUCAAGGCCUACAUAUUCAAGUACAAUUUUCUUCACGGUCAAUGGAAACACUAGGACAUAGAUUAGGAGUAUGUUGUCGAAUCUACCAGUGGAUCUUCGUUAUUUUGAUUGGUGAAAAUAUUUUUGGGAAAAAACGGUGAAAAAACGGUGACUCUAAAUGUAAAUUAAAUAUUCAAAUGGAGACUCUAUAUAUUUUGUGAAGUUACUAGGCACUUUGG